rnacentral:rRNA from 1 species
UACGUAGGGGCCUAGCGUUGUCCGGAAUUAUUGGGCUUAAAGGGCGCGUAGGCGGCGCGGGAAGUCAUCGGUGAAAGUUCAGGGCUCAACUCUGAAUCGGCCGGUGAUACUCUCGUGCUCGAGCACUGUAGAGGCAGGUGGAAUUCCGGGUGUAGCGGUGGAAUGCGUAGAGAUCCGGAAGAACACCGGUGGCGAAGGCGGCCUGCUGGGCAGUAGCUGACGCUGAUGCGCGACAGCGUGGGGAGCAAACAGG